rnacentral:rRNA from 1 species
UGGGGAAUAUUGCACAAUGGGGGAAACCCUGAUGCAGCAACGCCGCGUGAAGGAUGAAGGUUUUCGGAUUGUAAACUUCUUUAGUCAGGGACGAAAAAAAUGACGGUACCUGAAGAAUAAGCCACGGCUAACUACGUGCCAGCAGCCGCGGUAAUACGUAGGUGGCGAGCGUUGUCCGGAAUUACUGGGUGUAAAGGGUGCUCAGGCGGAUUUGUAAGUCAGAGGUGAAAUCUUACAGCUUAACUGUGAAACUGCCUUUGAUACUGCAAGCCUAGAGUAUGGAAGAGAGUGAUGGAAUAUCUGGUGUAGCAGUGAAAUGCGUAGAUAUCAGAUAGAACACCAAUGGCGAAGGCAGUCACUUGGUCCAUUACUGACGCUAAAGCACGAAAGCGUGGGUAGCAAACA